rnacentral:misc_RNA from 1 species
UUUGGCUCUGUUGGGGAUGAUCAGUAUUUGCACGUAUGGGAUCUGCGAACUCCAUCAGUGACCAAGCCUAUACAAUCUGUAGUUGCACAUCAAAGUGAGGUUAACUGCUUAGCUUUCAACCCCUUUAAUGAAUGGGUUGUAGCAACGGGGUCUACAGACAAGACAGUUAAAUUAUUUGAUCUACGCAAGAUUUCUACUGCACUUCAUACUUUGGAUUGUCACAAGGAGGAAGUUUUCCAGGUUGGGUGGAAUCCAAAGAAUGAAACCAUUUUAGCUUCUUGUUGCCUUGGUAGGAGACUCAUGGUUUGGGAUCUCAGCAGGAUCGACGAGGAACAAACUCCAGAAGAUGCGGAAGAUGGACCACCAGAGUUGCUCUUUAUUCAUGGUGGCCACACAAGUAAAAUUUCAGACUUCUCAUGGAACCCAUGUGAAGAUUGGGUCGUUGCUAGUGUUGCCGAGGAUAAUAUACUACAAAUCUGGCAGAUGGCUGAAAACAUCUACCAUGAUGAAGAUGACCUGCCUGGAGAUGAUGCCCCCAAAGGCCCUUAGGAUACUAAUAUAGCCCUUAGGAGGGUAUUGUAACAUCAACUAGGAGAGGCUAAAAAGAUGCUUGUUCUAUUUGCCCCUCUACUCCCCCACAUUGUUGCGUUAUUUUUUCUUUUCGAUUUUUCCUUUUGAACUGAGCUUCUCUACUACUGUGAUGAUAUCUAUGACUGUUACUUUAACAACUUUGUUUUUCUCUUUUAACAUUU